GAUCUGGCUCAGGAUGAACGCUGGCGGCGUGCUUAACACAUGCAAGUCGAGCGAAGCAAUUUAAGUGAAGUUUUCGGAUGGAUCUUAAAUUGACUGAGCGGCGGACGGGUGAGUAACGCGUGGAUAACAUGCCUCACACAGGGGGAUAACAGUUAGAAAUGACUGCUAAUACCGCAUAAGCGCACGGUACCGCAUGGUACAGUGUGAAAAACUCCGGUGGUGUGAGAUGGA
rnacentral:rRNA from 1 species